GCAAAGGAGGGGCCGGCAGGCGCGGUAAGACGGAGGGUGCGAGCGUUGUGCGGAAUUAUGGGGCGGAAAGUGGUCGUAGGGGGUUUGGCGCGUCGGCUGUGAAAACCCGAGGCUCAACCUCGGGCCUGCAGUCGAGACGGGCAAACUAGAGUGCGGUAGGGGAGACUGGAAUUCCUGGUGUAGCGGUGAAAUGCGCAGAUAUCAGGAGGAACACCGGCGGCGAAGGCGGGUCUCUGGGCCGUAACUGACGCUGAGGAGCGAAAGCGUGGGGAGCGAACAGGAUUAGAUACCCCAUUAGUC
rnacentral:rRNA from 1 species